GUCCAUUAGGGGACUUCCGGUAAAAUUGGAAUGAUACAGAGAAGAUUACAUGACCCCUGCACAAGAAUGGCACGCAGAAAUUGAGAAAUGUUUAACUCAUUC